rnacentral:rRNA from 1 species
UACGUAGGGGGCUAGCGUUGUCCGGAUUUAUUGGGCGUAAAGAGCGUGUAGGCGGCCAGGUAGGUCUGGUGUGAAAACUCGAGGCUUAACCUCGAGAUGUCAUCGGAAACCAUCUGGCUAGAGUCCGGAAGAGGAGAGUGGAAUUCCUGGUGUAGCGGUGAAAUGCGCAGAUAUCAGGAAGAACACCCGUGGCGAAGGCGGCUCUCUGGAACGGUACUGACGCUGAGACGCGAAAGCGUGGGGAGCGAGCAGG